CAACCUCUUCGAGCCGUUGAAACUGGUUUUCUUGAGUGAGCGAGAAGUAUGCGGAAUGCGUGGUGUAGCGGUGAAAUGCAUAGAUAUCACGCAGAACUCCGAUUGCGAAGGCAGCAUACCGGCGCUCAACUGACGCUCAUGCACGAAAGUGUGGGUAUCGAACAGGAUUAGAUACCCUGGUAGUCCACACAGUAAACGAUGAAUACUAAUUGUUCGGGGAGAAUGAUCCCUGAGUGAUACAGCGAAAGCGUUAAGUAUUCCACCUGGGGAGUACGCCGGCAACGGUGAAACUCAAAGGAAUUGACGGGGGCCCGCACAAGCGGAGGAACAUGUGGUUUAAUUCGAUGAUACGCGAGGAACCUUACCCGGGCUCAAACGACACAGGAAUACUUUUGAAAGGAGGUAGCUCUACGGAGUCUGUGUCGAGGUGCUGCAUGGUUGUCGUCAGCUCGUGCCGUGAGGUGUCGGCUUAAGUGCCAUAACGAGCGCAACCCCCAUCGCCAGUUACCAGCAAGUCAAGUUGGGGACUCUGGCGAGACUGCCGGCGCAAGCUGUGAGGAAGGCGGGGAUGACGUCAAAUCAGCACGGCCCUUACGUCCGGGGCGACACACGUGUUACAAUGGCAGGUACAGAGAGAAGCAAUGCGGCGACGCAAAGCGGAACUUGAAAGCCUGUCUCAGUUCGGAUUGGAGUCUGCAACUCGACUCCAUGAAGCUGGAUUCGCUAGUAAUCGCGCAUCAGCCAUGGCGCGGUGAAUACGUUCCCGGGCCUUGUACACACCGCCCGUCAAGCCAUGGAAGCCGGGAGUGCCUGAAGUGAGCAACCGCAAGGAGCGCCCUAAGGUAAAACUGGUGACUGGGGCUAAGUCGUAACAAGGUAACCGUAA
rnacentral:rRNA from 1 species